GCCAGCCUGGUGUAGUGGUUUGAGUGCUGGGCUUCCAUCUUGGAGAUCAGGGUUCAAUUCCCCGCUCGAGCA